GAUUAACGCUAGCGGCAGGCCUAAUACAUGCAAGUCGAACGGCAGCACGGGUAGCAAUACCUGGUGGCGAGUGGCGCACGGGUGCGUAACGCGUAUGCAAUCUACCUAUAACUGGGGAUAGCCUUCCGAAGGAAGAUUAAACCGACAUAAUAUCACGAAGCGGCAUCGUUUUGUUGAUCAAAUACUCCGGAGGGUUAUUAGAUGAGCAUGCGUGACA
rnacentral:rRNA from 1 species